UCCCUGGUAGCUCAGAUGGUAAAGCUUCUGCCUGCAAUACAGGAGACCCCGGUUCGAACCCUGGGUUGGGAA
rfam:Ovis aries breed Texel chromosome 17, whole genome shotgun sequence.